UACAGAGGUCUCAAGCGUUGUUCGGAUUCAUUGGGCGUAAAGGGUGCGUAGGUGGCGCCGUAAGUCGGGUGUGAAAUUUCGGGAGCUUAACUCCGAAACUUGCAUUCGAUACGUGCGGUGCUUGAGGACUGGAGAGGAGACUGGAAUUCGAUGGUGUAGCAGUAGAAAUGCGUAGAGACUCAUGAGGAAGACCAGUGGCGAAGGCGGGUCUCUGGACAGUUCCUGACACUGAGGCACGAAGGCCAGGGGAGCAAACGGG
rnacentral:rRNA from 1 species